CUUUUUGAUAAUAAUUUAAAGUCUAAUCUGCCCACUGAUAGAAUAUUAAAGGGCUGCAGUAUAUUGACUGUACAAAGGUAGCAUAAUCAUUAGUCUUUUAAUUGAAGACUUGUAUGAAAGAUUUGAUGAAAUAUAAACUGUCUCUAAUUUAUGUUUAGAAAUUAAUUUUUUAGUUAAAAAGCUAAAAUAAAGUUAAAAGACGAGAAGACCCUAUAGAGUUUUAUAUUUUGAUUAAUUAUUAUUAAAUAUAUAAUUAAAUAUAAUAAUUAAUUAAAAUAUUUUGUUGGGGUGAUAGAAAAAUUUAAUAAACUUUUUUUAAAAUUUGAACAUAAAUAAGUGAAUAAUUGAUCCAUUAAUAAUGAUUAAAAGAAAAAAUUACCUUAGGGAUAACAGCGUAAUAUUUUUUUUUAGUACAAAUAAAAAAAAAAGUUUGCGACCUCGAUGUUGGAUUAAGAUAAAAUUUAAAUGCAAAAGUUUAAAAUUUUGAUCUGUUCGAUCAUUAAAAUCUUACAUGAUCU
rnacentral:rRNA from 1 species